rnacentral:rRNA from 1 species
GAAUUUUGGACAAUGGGGGCAACCCUGAUCCAGCCAUCCCGCGUGUGCGAUGAAGGCCGUCGGGUUGUAAAGCACUUUUGGCAGGGAAGAAAAGGCGCUGGCUAAUACCUGGAGCUGCUGACGGUACCUGCAGGAUAAGCACCGGCUAACCUCGUGCCAGCCGCCGGGCUAAUACGUAGGGUGCAAGCGUUCAUCGGAAUUACUGGGCGUAAAGCGUGCGCAGGCGGUUCGGCAAGAAGGAUGUGAAAUCCCAGGGCUUAACCUUGGAACUGCAUUCUUAACUGCCGGGCUAGAGUAUGUCAGAGGGGGGUAGAAUUCCGCGUGUAGCAGUGAAAUGCGUAGAGAUGCGGAGGAAUACCGAUGGCGAAGGCAGCCCCCUGGGAUAAUACUGACGCUCAUGCACGAAAGCGUGGGGAGCAAAC